AGAAGAACAAAGCUCCUAGAGGUUAAAUUGACUCUAGUAGGGAGUCCGUUUCCCACGCGACUCCCUAAUCGAGUCAGGUUGAUUUCUUUGACGCUCUCUCUA
rnacentral:pre_miRNA from 1 species